CAGUCGCCGCGGUAAUACGAAGGGUGCAAGCGUUAAUCGGAAUUACUGGGCGUAAAGCGUGCGUAGGCGGUUUGUUAAGUCUGUUGUGAAAUCCCCGGGCUCAACCUGGGAAUGGCAAUGGAUACUGGCAAGCUAGAGUGUGUCAGAGGAUGGUGGAAUUCCCGGUGUAGCGGUGAAAUGCGUAGAGAUGUGGAGGAAUACCGAUGGCGAAGGCAGCCCCCUGGGCCAAUACUGACGCUCAUGCACGAAAGCGUGGGGAGCAAACAGGAUUAGAUACCCCGGUAGUCCCUGUCUCUUAUAC
rnacentral:rRNA from 1 species